GCCCGGGUGGUGAAAUUGGUAGACACAAGGGACUUAAAAUCCCUCGCUGGCAACAGCGUGCCGGUUCAAGUCCGGCCCCGGGCACCA
rnacentral:tRNA from 3 species